rnacentral:rRNA from 1 species
UCGGGUUGUAAAGCACUUUUGUCCGGAAAGAAAACUUCUGCCCUAAUACGGUGGGAGGAUGACGGUACCGGAAGAAUAAGCACCGGCAACUACGUGCCAGCAGCCGCGGUAAUACGUAGGGUGCGAGCGUUAAUCGGAAUUACUGGGCGUAAAGCGUGCGCAGGCGGUUCGUUAAGACAGAUGUGAAAUCCCCGGGCUUAACCUGGGAACUGCAUUUGUGACUGGCGAGCUAGAGUAUGGCAGAGGGGGGUAGAAUUCCACGUGUAGCAGUGAAAUGCGUAGAGAUGUGGAGGAAUACCGAUGGCGAAGGCAGCCCCCUGGGCCAAUACUGACGCUCAUGCACGAAAGCGUGGGGAGCAAACAGGAUUAGAUACCCUGGUAGUCCACGCCCUAAGCGAUGUCAACUAGUUGUUGGGUCUUCAUUGACUUAGUAACGUAGCUAACGCGUGAAGUUGACCGCCUGGGGAGUACGGUCGCAAGAUUAAAACUCAAAGGAAUUGACGGGGACCCGCACAAGCGGUGGAUGAUGUGGAUUAAUUCGAUGCAACGCGAAAAACCUUACCUACCCUUGACAUGGUCGGAACCCUGCUG